rnacentral:rRNA from 1 species
GACGAACGCUGGCGGCGUGCUUAACACAUGCAAGUCGAACGGAAAGGCCCUGCUUUUGUGGGGUGCUCGAGUGGCGAACGGGUGAGUAACACGUGAGUAACCUGCCCUUGACUUUGGGAUAACUUCAGGAAACUGGGGCUAAUACCGGAUAGGAGCUCCUGCUGCAUGGUGGGGGUUGGAAAGUUUCGGCGGUUGGGGAUGGACUCGCGGCUUAUCAGCUUGUUGGUGGGGUAGUGGCUUACCAAGGCUUUGACGGGUAGCCGGCCUGAGAGGGUGACCGGGCCCAUGGGGCUAGGGGAGGGAGCCGGACCCAAUCGGGCGGAAGGGGGGGGAACAUUAGGAAGAAGGGCGGAGGGAGUGAGGAAGGCCGCCGGGUGGGGAAAGUCGGCUUUGGGGGUAGAACCAAUUUGUGCGUAUCGAGGCGCGUGUGGACGGGAAAUGGGUAAAAAGCCACGGCUAAAUACGUG